UGGGGAAUUGUUCGCAAUGGGCGCAAGCCUGACGACGCAACGCCGCGUGGAGGAUGAAGGUCUUCGGAUUGUAAACUCCUGUUGACCGGGAAGAAUUCCCCCGGGGUUAACACCCCUGGAGGUUGACGGUACCGGUUGAGGAAGCCCCGGCUAACUCUGUGCCAGCAGCCGCGGUAAUACAGAGGGGGCAAGCGUUGUUCGGAAUUACUGGGCGUAAAGGGCGCGUAGGCGGCCGACUAAGUCAGACGUGAAAUCCCCUGGCUCAACCAGGGAACUGCGUCUGAUACUGGCUGGCUUGAAUCCGGGAGAGGGAUGUGGAAUUCCAGGUGUAGCGGUGAAAUGCGUAGAUAUCUGGAGGAACACCGGUGGCGAAGGCGGCAUCCUGGACCGGUAUUGACGCUGAGGCGCGAAAGCCAGGGGAGCAAACGGG
rnacentral:rRNA from 1 species